rnacentral:rRNA from 1 species
AGCGGCGGACGGGUGAGUAACGCGUGGGUAACCUGCCUUAUACUGGGGGAUAACAUUCUGAAAAGGAUGCUAAUACCGCAUAAGCGCACAGCAUCGCAUGAUGCCGUGUGAAAAACUCCGGUGGUAUAAGAUGGACCCGCGUCUGAUUAGCUAGUUGGUGAGAUAAUAGCUCACCAAGGCAACGAUCAGUAGCCGACCUGAGAGGGUGAUCGGCCACAUUGGGACUGAGACACGGCCCAAACUCCUACGGGAGGCAGCAGUGGGGAAUAUUGCACAAUGGGGGAAACCCUGAUGCAGCGACGCCGCGUGAAGGAUGAAGGUUUUCGGAUCGUAAACUUCUAUCAGCAGGGAAGAAAAUGACUGUACCUGACUAAGAAGCCCCGGCUAACUACGUGCCAGCAGCCGCGGUAAUACGUAGGGGGCAAGCGUUAUCCGGAAUUACUGGGUGUAAAGGGUGCGUAGGCGGUAAAGUAAGUUAGGUGUGAAAGCCCGGGGCUCAACCUCGGGACUGCACUUAAAACUGCUUUACUAGAAUACAGGAGAGGUAAGUGGAAUUCCUAGUGUAGCGGUGAAAUGCGUAGAUAU